rnacentral:ncRNA from 1 species
AGGAGACGUAUGAGGUGAAAAUCUCACGUACAGUUCUGUAAUAGCGAUGAGCACAGCGAUUUUAUCAUCCACUAUGAU